AUGGGCGGCGGCAACUGCAACCCCAAGGACUUCGGCGCCGCCGCCCUACUGGGACGCCCGCUACUCCUCUCCCUCCACUGGCGGCAAGGGCGGCGGCGGCGGCGGCGGCGGGUUCUUCGACUGGUACCAGUCGUACUCGGCGCUCCGCCCACUCCUCCGCGCCUGCGUGCCCGCCUCCUCCCAGUUCUGUCGGAGGACAUGGUAAAGGAUGGUUACCAGAACAUAGUAAACAUAGACAUCUCAUCCGUUGUAAUCGAGCAGAUGAAAGAGAAGCACAUGGAUUUCCCACAGCUUACAUAUAUGCAGUUGGAUGUCAGAGAUAUGAGCUUCUUUGGAGAUGGAUCAUUUGAUUGUAUCAUCGACAAAGGAACUUUGGAUGCUAUGAUGUGUGGCGAUGAUGCCCCUCAUGGUGCUUACAAAAUGCUAGCAGAAGUGGCAAGGCUUAUGAGGCCUGGUGGGAUUUACAUGUUGAUAACAUAUGGUGCCCCUAAGGAACGCCUGACACUUCUGAAUCAAGUCCGAUGCCGUUGGGAAGUUGAGCUUUACAUUAUGCCAGCCACACCUGAAUACCAGCUGAAAUGGAGCAACGGUGCUGCACACGCCAUGAUGGAGAAAGUUGCACUGACAGUGGAUGGCCAACUGCCACCUGACUACGUUCUCAAGGAUCCAGAGUCACAUUUCAUUUAUGUUUGUUACAAGUCAGAUAUAGUGACUGAAGAUAAUUCCAUGGUUGCUGGUCAAGAUGAUGCCAUGACUUCAUUUUAA
rnacentral:rRNA from 1 species